GAGAUACCAUACAGCAUGCAACCUUCAUGGCACAGAGGUCCCAGCUAUCCAGAAGUAAAUAUUUCUCUGUUGCAUAUCGUAAGACAGGCUGAAAUUGAUGUCAGGUCUCCAGGCGCCGCUGAGCCAACGAAGCAGGAUGAAAUUUUUCAUGGAAGAUCCUGGGAGAGUAUUGAUCAGACUGUGGCUCUAAAAGGCUUUAAUUGGCCAUCUCUUAUUAGGGAAAGUGAAAGCCUCAAACGUCAUGUGGUAGAUACAAACAAGAGAAAAGCUGUGCGUGUGGCCUCAUUUCCACACAGAAACCUCCUCAACAUGAAACACAGCACAGAACGCCCUCCGGCUCCUCUGAUGACUUUGAGACUUGUCGCUCUUACAGAUGAUAUCUGUAUUCCUGUCAUCUGUACUUGCAGACACAAACUGCUACACUGCAAAUAUAAAGAGAUGUACAUUAAAGUUCAACUUUAAUUAAAAAGUGUGUCUGUUGUACAGUAUGAUCUACUAAAUGAAAAAGGUUGCUAUAUCUAGCGUUCCACACUGUACAAGACUGAUAUCACAACAUGCUGAUGUGCUUGUGAUCCUUGAAGUCAAUAACUUACAAUACUGGACAACUGUGGGUUUUUCACAUUUAUUUAUAGUUCCAAAAUUAACACUAAAAAUUUUAAGAACUGUUUUCAGUAACUGAAAUAAAAAAGCUGAAAUAAAUGAAAUAAAAAAUAAAAAAAAAUGAAAAACUUAAAAGAAAAUUAGAAAUGUUGCCUUGAUAUCUAAC